rnacentral:lncRNA from 1 species
UGAUUACUCAGCGAUAUGCGAUUAAAAGCUUCAAAUUUGCAGAAACCCAUCUUCUUCAGCUCCUACUCUGCCCAUGAUAUUCUCAGAGCGUCUUUCAUUGAGAAGUUUCUGGUCUCCAGAAUCCUUUUUGUGCACUUAAGAUUCCUUCUUGGUGUUUGGAGAAAGUUAAGUGAACAUCCCAGUGCAGUGACUUCAACAUGUUCUCAACUUCUCUUAUCACAUUUGAUUCGUCACGAACUAUUAGUUUACCUCCUGGUCUUACUAUUCUAUCCACUUCUGCCAUUACUGGAACAAGAUUGCACCUUUCAAAACAAAACAAAACAAGAGACUUAUUGUUGAUGAAACGUUACCAAAAGGUGUGGAUAUUAUGAGUUACGCUUAUACCUUGUUCUCAACUUUGAGAAAAGAUGAUCUGCAUGUAAGAGAUCAUAGCUUCGAGGGUAUGUGCUAAAUGAUUCACACCAGUCAUGAUAUAUUCCGAAUAGGCCUCUCUCGUAGAUUAUCGGUAGUGUAUCUGGUGAAUUUAUGUUUACUACAUUCAUUACCCACACCUGUAGGUCCUUCAGAGCUGCUGCAAACCUGCAUUUUUACGUAGUUAGUAAAAAAAGGUUUAGUUUUGGUAAGUGAGAUUUUAGUUUGAUUUGUUUUCGUUGAUGCUCACCCUCCGUAGACAGCUCGCAUGUCCAUUACAUUCCUCACAUUUGACCAGCUGAUUCCUAUUUCAUUCAUGUAUACUUUGCUUACAACAUGUUUCCAGUGUUCAUAAUCUGUAGUGAAAUCUCGAGGAGCUGGUUUCCCAUAUAUCCCCAUUUGAGAGCUGUUUAACCAGUAAGGCGGUGUUUGAAGCCGACGGGGCCAAUUCACGGGCCACUUGCUUCCUCUCUCGACCACAUUGGUUUCUGGUAGAUUGCAGCACCAAUACCAUUGAGUUUAUCCUUGUUGAUUGUCACAAGUUCCCAGCACAAGGAUUUUGUCAACGCGGACAUUUCUACAUCACUCAAAACAUCUCAGGUUCAGUGAAACAAACAAAAGAAGGAGGAACUCUAGCCUAAGCAUCCGAUUAAGUUCCAGAAGAAGCAUACCACCCUCAUUAUGCCAUGGGACUCUACAACGUGCACAGUGGAUAAGAUCAAACACUCUGCUCGGGAAUGGCAGUCGCUUAGAGCCCAUAACUGCUGAGAUGGCUGGAAUCUUUCUUUCAAGAGCAAACUGGACUUGAGCCUCGUGUUCAUCUUUUGGUGCAAGAGACAUUGCUAUAACAUCUCUUUCAAAGAGGAAACCGCCAAAGCUCGCCACUCCACAUCCAACAUCCAAUAUGACCCGAUUUUAACACUAUACUGAAAUCAAGAAAUGAGUGUUCACCUGCUGAAGAAAAUCGAUAUAAUGAAGAGCUCCAUGGAUGAACUGUGUUCCACCACCAGGAAACGUCAAGAACUCGCCAGUGACCUUCACCCAGUUCUGAUGUCCUUUUACCUCAGCUAGCUUUGUGUGUGGGACAUUGUGGUACCAUAUCUACUAGAUCACAUGCCACUUGAUGGCCUCCUUAUAACCUUCUGGGAGGGGGACGAGACACGUUGAUUCUUUCGGUAUUCCAGAGCCAAAACCACUGGCUUCUGAACCCUGUUCGUGUUUUUUCUCAUCCUUCCGCUCUUCUUGUUGCUCCAUGUUUUCGUCCUUUGAUGUGCUCUCUUCUUCUUUGUUUCCGCUUUCUUCCUCUGCUGUGGUAUGUUCUUCCUGUUGGCCAUUCUCAUCUUUCAUGCUCUUCUCUCCCUUCCCGUUUUCUUCACUAGCUGUUGUCUUCUCCUCGUUUUGUUGUCCGGUUUCCUCAUUCCCUGAGUUUUGUUCCUCUGGUUGUCCGUUUUCUUCAUUCUUUGAGGUCUCUGAUGUUUCCCCCUGCCCCGUUUCCAUAGGUUGUUCUUGUUUGGUCGCAUCUGUGAAUGUCACAUCCGUAUUCGAAUCCUGUUCUUGCCCUUGUUUAUUUCCUUGUUCCACAUCCGGCUGUUCCUUCCCUUGUCCCUGCUCUUGCCCUUGAGUCCCUUUGGGCUGAGUCCCAGCGUCCUCGUCCCGCUGUUGUUUCUGUUCCUUUUCAAACUCCUUGACGACUUUUUUCAUCUGACCCUCCUCACUCUCUUGCACCGUCUGGUUCUCCUUGCCGUUAUCUUUCUCUUUUUCCUCGGAAAUUUUGUCAUCGUUGUUUUGUUGGGUCUCUUGUGUUUGAGUCUUUGAGCUCGUCGUUUCACUCUUCUCUUUCGCUGACUUCCGUUGCUCGUCUUCAGACUUUACGGCAUCGUCUGGAAGCUUUCCCGGAUUGUCUUCAAAUGCCUGUUGCUCAUCAGACUCUUGUUUCGUGGGUUCGGGCUCAUCAUUACCGUUUGAAGAGGCAGACACAUCACUCCUCUCUGUCUCUGCGACAGCCGCUCGAGUGGAGCCUUGUGUGAUCUGCGGUGGAAUAACGGAAUUGGAAGAAAGCAUCCACACCCCGAAGACACACAGAGCCACAAAGAUGACCAUUGUAAUGGUCGACGCAUAGGACGACGUCGAAGUGCGUUUGUUGCCACGUCCCCUCCCGAAGGCCAUCUUUACGGUCUUGCGUAUAGUACUAGUUAUGGAGAAAGAAGAAGAAGAAAAAUGAAGGAGUAAAAUGGGAGUUGAAGGAAGUAAAAAUAGAAGAAAAAGAAGAGAAAGAGAGGUUGUGAAGAGACAAGACUGGAUCAAAGAUCCUAUAGAGUCGGAUAUGGGACUUUCAAUUUCGUGUCUCUAAAUUUAGUUAUGGUCUCUGUGUUUCAUAUUUUGUUGUCCAUGAAAAAUUAGUGCCAUGUAAUCCAAUGUUAACUUGUAACGCCUAGUCAAGGAUAUAUUAAACAUGGCAAGCUUGUGCUUUUUUGGUAUAAUGUAUUCGAAGACUGUUUAAUUUGAAUUUUGAUUGAUUAAGU